CCUACGGGAGGCAGCAGUGGGGAAUAUUGGACAAUGGGCGAAAGCCUGAUCCAGCCAUGCCGCGUGUGUGAAGAAGGCCUUCGGGUUGUAAAGCACUUUCAGUGGGGAAGAAAGCCUUGGGGCUAAUACCCUCGAGGAAGGACAUCACCCACAGAAGAAGCACCGGCUAACUCCGUGCCAGCAGCCGCGGUAAUACGGAGGGUGCGAGCGUUAAUCGGAAUUACUGGGCGUAAAGCGCGCGUAGGCGGUCUGAUAAGCCGGUUGUGAAAGCCCCGGGCUCAACCUGGGAACGGCAUCCGGAACUGUCAGGCUAGAGUGCAGGAGAGGAAGGUAGAAUUGCCGGUGUAGCGGUGAAAUGCGUAGAGAUCGGGAGGAAUACCAGUGGCGAAGGCGGCCUUCUGGACUGACACUGACGCUGAGGUGCGAAAGCGUGGGUAGCAAACAGGAUUAGAUACCCCAGUAGUC
rnacentral:rRNA from 1 species